rnacentral:lncRNA from 1 species
UCUACAACAGAUAAGGAUUGCUUUGCUCAGGAGACAAUUCUUAUAACUUCUCUCAGCGCUGCCCCUGUCUCUUGCUCGCUCUGUCUAUGUCGCCUUGUUCUUUCUGGCGUGGGGUCUGUGUAUCUAUCUAUCCCCUAGCCCCGGCUGCAGGCUGGAAGCAGCAACUUUCUUGAGACUUUGGUGUCUGGAGCCCACACCCCAGCGCCUGUCUUGCUCACAUAGCUGAUACCUGUUUCUCAUCCCCAGGCUCAAGUGUGAGCACAUGAUCUGCAUUCAUUGAGUGCCUACUGUAUGCCUGGUUCUGGGAUCCCUUGGGAGGAGGGCCUUUGAUCUUUGCAGACAGACAAGGAGACCCAGCAGGGAGGUGGCACAGAGCAUAGGACACAGUGGGAAUGCAGAACUCAGAUCAGCCUUGGGGGUGCACAAGGCCAGAUGAGGACCUGGGACCAAGGAGGAGCACAGUGGUACCUGAAAGCCUUCAGGGGCUGGGGUCUUGGAGGAGUGCGGAGCCCAGCACAGUAAUGGCAGAGGCUCAGAGUCAGAGUGGAGCACCCAAGGUGUGGCCAGGGUGGGGCCCUGAUAAGCAGGGCCUGGCAGGACCAAGUGAGGCCUGAGGCCUGAUAAAGUAUGGACUUUAUUCAGAGGGCCACCAGGUAGGAAAGAAGCUGCUAGAAAGAGUGCUUGGGCUGCUGGGCCCCAGGGAGCUGGCCCAGUCGAGGGGCAGGAUGUGGUGGUCUUCACUGUAGGGGUGGCAGUGCUGGGCAAGGGCCAGGGGGACCAGAUUGGGAGUGUCCUGGCUCCUGGCUUGGGGACCGUGGAAAGAUAUGCUGUGUGAGGUGCUGGUAGGGACAUCUUUGGUGGCCCCAGGGAACUGCCACUAAUGCUGCCUCCCAACUCAGUCAUCAGAGGAAGUUCUGGAGGCUGAGUAUCGAGUAUCGUGGGGACCUGUGAGACAGUUUUCCAGAGAGCGCUGGCCACCACCUUCUCGGCCCUUCACCCAACCCACGCCCUAUCUGCACACACUUCGUGGUUGCUCCUUCCUUACCAGCUUUUCAGGUUCUCCUGACCGCUGCCCUCAGGGUCGAGAAAACCCAGUUCCAGGAACAGCCCUGGGUGGCACAGUGUUGCCCUUGUCUCCUCCUGGGAAAUCCCUGGUGGGUCAGCAACUUUGGAGGGCAAGGGUCAGGAUGAUUAUCUGGGGUGACAGUGGGGGACCCCUGUUCUGCACCUGCUUGCAUGCCCCUGGCACGGGGAACUCACCAUCCACAUGGGCUUCACACAGCUGGGCAGGAGGCGGUCCCCACCUAGGUGCCUGCUCAGAGCCCUUGUGUGGCUUGGGGUUGGAAGACCUGUUUCUGCUCCUUCCAGUGGACCCAGAGAAGCUGCCCUGGCUCCCUGCCAGGGGUCAGUUUCGGGAAAACACCUUCCUGCCUCAGGCUUGAACAAGCCCUGGGGCAGCCAAGCGAGUGGGUCAUCUCACAUUUCUUGGGUUAGUCCGGUUCACAGGGUCUGAAGAACGUGGAGAGCAGCAGGUGGGGUAAGCCCUAAGCCCAAGAGGCACUUUCCUUAAUUACUGGUGUCAAAGAGGCUCAAAAUGGGAAACGGGCAUCUCUAGCCCUAGAAACAGGAAAGGUGGGCCCUGGGGAUGUUUCCCACCCCGCCAGCCUGUCUUCUGACCCCUCGCCUGGCAUCUCGGCGGGCAUGCACGGGGAGUGGAGAAACCAGGCGGGAAGUACUUCGAACACCCUGGAACAAGGCGUCUCCUGCUCCCCAGGAAGCUGGGUCGGCUCCAGCCUCAGUUUCUCCAUUGGCCCACUGUCCUUCCUUCUGGAGAGUGGCAGAAGGACGGUGGGAAGUGGGGCCUUGAAAGGCAAACCCGAAGCCUCUGUAGGGAGCCCCCGCGGGAUCCUAAACCUGGAGCUGCCCCUCCCCCCCGCGUCCAGGGUUAGGGCCGGCGGGGCGGGGCCUCAGUGGGCGUGGUCUGCCUAGGGGCGGAGAGGGAGGCCCGGCCGGAGCCAGUACGGGAGUGGGGGUUGACCAAAGGGGGUGUGGCUUGCCGGGACGGGACCGACAGGAG